rfam:Capsicum annuum cultivar Zunla-1 chromosome 7, whole genome shotgun sequence
GGGCAUUUGGUCUAGUGGUAUGCUUCUUGCUUAGGGUGCGAGAGUUCCAAAGUUCAAUUCUCGGAAUGCCCC